GGUGAGGUGGCAGAGUGGUCGAAUGCGCUGCCUUGGAAAGGCAGUGUACGUUUAUGCGUACCGUGGGUUCGAAUCCCGCCCUCACCGCCA
rnacentral:tRNA from 1 species